rnacentral:rRNA from 1 species
GAUGAACGCUGGCGGCGUGCCUAAUACAUGCAAGUCGAGCGAACAGACGAGGAGCUUGCUCCUCUGACGUUAGCGGCGGACGGGUGAGUAACACGUGGAUAACCUACCUAUAAGACUGGGAUAACUUCGGGAAACCGGAGCUAAUACUGGAUAAUAUAUUGAACCGCAUGGUUCAAUAGUGAAAGACGGUUUUGCUGUCACUUAUAGCUGGAUCCGCGCCGCAUUAGCUAGUUGGUAAGGUAACGGCUUACCAAGGCAACGAUGCGUAGCCGACCUGAGAGGGUGAUCGGCCACACUGGAACUGAGACACGGUCCAGACUCCUACGGGAGGCAGCAGUAGGGAAUCUUCCGCAAUGGGCGAAAGCCUGACGGAGCAACGCCGCGUGAGUGAUGAAGGUCUUCGGAUCGUAAAACUCUGUUAUUAGGGAAGAACAAAUGUGUAAGUAACUAUGCACGUCUUGACGGUACCUAAUCAGAAAGCCACGGCUAACUACGUG